rnacentral:rRNA from 1 species
GAACGCUGAAGCCAGAAGCUUGCUUCUGGUGGAUGAGUGGCGAACGGGUGAGUAACACGUGAGUAACCUGCCCCUGAUUUCGGGAUAAGCCUGGGAAACCGGGUCUAAUACCGGAUACGACCAACCCUCGCAUGAGGGUUGGUGGAAAGUUUUUCGAUCAGGGAUGGGCUCGCGGCCUAUCAGCUUGUUGGUGGGGUAAUGGCCCACCAAGGCGACGACGGGUAGCCGGCCUGAGAGGGCGACCGGCCACACUGGGACUGAGACACGGCCCAGACUCCUACGGGAGGCAGCAGUGGGGAAUAUUGCACAAUGGGGGAAACCCUGAUGCAGCGACGCAGCGUGCGGGAUGACGGCCUUCGGGUUGUAAACCGCUUUCAGCAGGGAAGAAGCGAAAGUGACGGUACCUGCAGAAGAAGUACCGGCUAACUACGUGCCAGCAGCCGCGGUAAUACGUAGGGUACGAGCGUUGUCCGGAAUUAUUGGGCGUAAAGAGCUCGUAGGUGGUUGGUCACGUCUGCUGUGGAAACGCAACGCUUAACGUUGCGCGUGCAGUGGGUACGGGCUGACUAGAGUGCAGUAGGGGAGUCUGGAAUUCCUGGUGUAGCGGUGAAAUGCGCAGAUAUCAGGAGGAACACCGGUGGCGAAGGCGGGACUCUGGGCUGUA